CUUUAACGGAGAGUUUGAUCCUGGCUCAGGACGAACGCUGGCGGCGUGCUUAACACAUGCAAGUCGAACGGUGACCUCGGAGCUUGCUCCGGGUGAUCAGUGGCGAACGGGUGAGUAACACGUGAGUAACCUGCCCCUUUCUCUGGGAUAACUCCGGGAAACCGGUGCUAAUACUGGAUACGACCCGAGCGGGCAUCCGCAUCGGGUGGAAAGUUUUUCGGUAAGGGAUGGACUCGCGGCCUAUCAGCUUGUUGGUGGGGUAAUGGCCCACCAAGGCGACGACGGGUAGCCGGCCUGAGAGGGCGACCGGCCACACUGGGACUGAGACACGGCCCAGACUCCUACGGGAGGCAGCAGUGGGGAAUAUUGCACAAUGGGCGAAAGCCUGAUGCAGCGACGCCGCGUGAGGGAUGACGGCCUUCGGGUUGUAAACCUCUUUCAGCAGGGAAGAAGCUUUUGUGACGGUACCUGCAGAAGAAGCACCGGCUAACUACGUGCCAGCAGCCGCGGUAAUACGUAGGGUGCGAGCGUUGUCCGGAAUUAUUGGGCGUAAAGAGCUUGUAGGCGGUUUGUCGCGUCUGCUGUGAAAACUCGGGGCUUAACCCCGAGCCUGCAGUGGGUACGGGCAGACUAGAGUAUGGUAGGGGAGACUGGAAUUCCUGGUGUAGCGGUGGAAUGCGCAGAUAUCAGGAGGAACACCGAUGGCGAAGGCAGGUCUCUGGGCCAUAACUGACGCUGAGAAGCGAAAGCAUGGGUAGCGAACAGGAUUAGAUACCCUGGUAGUCCAUGCCGUAAACGUUGGGCGCUAGGUGUGGGACUCAUUCCACGAGUUCCGUGCCGCAGCUAACGCAUUAAGCGCCCCGCCUGGGGAGUACGGCCGCAAGGCUAAAACUCAAAGGAAUUGACGGGGGCCCGCACAAGCGGCGGAGCAUGCGGAUUAAUUCGAUGCAACGCGAAGAACCUUACCAAGGCUUGACAUAUACCGGAAACACCCAGAGAUGGGUGCCCCGCAAGGUCGGUAUACAGGUGGUGCAUGGUUGUCGUCAGCUCGUGUCGUGAGAUGUUGGGUUAAGUCCCGCAACGAGCGCAACCCUCGUUCUAUGUUGCCAGCGCGUUAUGGCGGGGACUCAUAGGAGACUGCCGGGGUCAACUCGGAGGAAGGUGGGGAUGACGUCAAAUCAUCAUGCCCCUUACGUCUUGGGCUUCACGCAUGCUACAAUGGCCAGUACAAAGGGCUGCGAAACCGCGAGGUGGAGCGAAUCCCAAAAAACUGGUCUCAGUUCGGAUUGGGGUCUGCAACUCGACCCCAUGAAGUCGGAGUCGCUAGUAAUCGCAGAUCAGCAACGCUGCGGUGAAUACGUUCCCGGGCCUUGUACACACCGCCCGUCAAGUCACGAAAGUCGGUAACACCCGAAGCCGGUGGCCCAACCCUUGUGGAGGGAGCCGUCGAAGGUGGGACUGGUGAUUGGGACUAAGUCGUAACAAGGUAGCCGUACCGGAAGGUGCGGCUGGAUCACCUCCUUUCU
rnacentral:rRNA from 1 species